UACGUAGGGUGCGAGCGUUAAUCGGAAUUACUGGGCGUAAAGCGUGCGCAGGCGGUUUUGUAAGCCAGAUGUGAAAUCCCCGGGCUUAACCUGGGAAUGGCAUUUGGGACUGCAAGGCUGGAGUUUGGCAGAGGAGACUGGAAUUCCUGGUGUAGCAGUGAAAUGCGCAGAUAUCAGGAGGAACACCGAUGGCGAAGGCAGGUCCCUGGGCCGAUACUGACGCUGAGGAGCGAAAGCGUGGGGAGCGAACAGG
rnacentral:rRNA from 1 species